UCCCGCAACGAGCGCAACCCUUAUCUUUAGUUGCCAGCAUUCAGUUGGGCACUCCAGAGAGACUGCCGUCGACAAGACGGAGGAAGGCGGGGAUGACGUCAAAUCAUCAUGCCCCUUAUGACCUGGGCUACACACGUGCUACAAUGGUUGGUACAACGGGAUGCUACCUCGCGAGGGGACGCCAAUCUCUGAAAACCAAUCUCAGUUCGGAUUGUAGGCUGCAACUCGCCUACAUGAAGUCGGAAUCGCUAGUAAUCGCGGAUCAGCAUGCCGCGGUGAAUACGUUCCCGGGCCUUGUACACACCCCCCGU
rnacentral:rRNA from 1 species